AUGCAGAGGAGCAAUCACACAGUGACUGAGUUCAUCCUGCUGGGCUUCACCACAGAUCCAGGGAUGCAACUGGGCCUCUUUGUGGUGUUCCUGGGUGUGUACUGUCUGACUGUGGUAGGAAGUAGCACCCUCAUCGUGUUGAUCUGUAAUGACUCCCACCUACACACACCCAUGUAUUUUGUCAUUGGAAAUCUGUCAUUUCUGGAUCUCUGGUAUUCUUCUGUCUACACCCCAAAGAUCCUAGUGACCUGCAUCUCUGAAGACAAAAGCAUCUCCUUUGCUGGCUGCCUGUGUCAGUUCUUCUCUGCCAGGCUGGCCUAUAGUGAGUGCUACCUACUGGCUGCCAUGGCUUAUGACCACUACGUGGCCAUCUCCAAGCCCCUGCUUUAUGCUCAGACCAUGCCAAGGAGAUUGUGCAUCUGUUUGGUUUUAUAUUCCUAUACUGGGGGUUUUGUCAAUGCAAUAAUAUUAACCAGCAACACAUUCACAUUGGAUUUUUGUGGUGACAAUGUCAUUGAUGACUUUUUCUGUGAUGUCCCACCCCUCGUGAAGCUGGCAUGCAGUGUGAGAGCUACCAGGCUGUGCUGCACUUCCUUCUGGCCUCCAAUGUCAUCUCCCCUACUGUGCUCAUCCUUGCCUCUUACCUCUCCAUCAUCACCACCAUCCUGAGGAUCCACUCUACCCAGGGCCGCAUCAAAGUCUUCUCCACAUGCUCCUCCCACCUGAUCUCCGUUACCUUAUACUAUGGCUCCAUUCUCUACAACUACUCCCGGCCAAGUUCCAGCUACUCCCUCAAGAGGGACAAAAUGGUUUCUACCUUUUAUACUAUGCUGUUCCCCAUGUUGAAUCCCAUGAUCUACAGUCUGAGGAAUAAAGACAUGAAAGACGCUCUGAAAAAAUUCUUCAAGUCAGCAUAA
rnacentral:lncRNA from 1 species